rnacentral:rRNA from 1 species
GACAGAGGCCCCAAGCGUUAGGCGGAAUCACUGGGCUUAAGCGUGUGUAGGCGGAUCGUUAAGUGUCUUGUGAAAUCCCACGGCUCACCCGUGGAACUGCUGGGCAUACUGGCGAUCUUGGGCCAACUAGGGGCAGCCGGAACAAGCGGUGGAGCGGUGAAAUGCGUAGAUAUCGCUUGGAACGCCGAAGGUGAAAACAGGCUGCUGGGGUUGUGCCGACGCUGAGACACGAAAGCCAGGGGAGCAAACGGG